UCCUCAGUAACGCAAAUAGUUAACGUGCGGAAGUUAUAAUGCCGAGGUUGUGAGUUCGAUCCUCACCUGGGGAA
rnacentral:tRNA from 1 species